CGAAAGCCUGACGGAGCAAUACCGCGUGAGGGAGGAAGGCUCUUGGGUUGUAAACCUCUUUUCUCAGGGAAGAACACAAUGACGGUACCUGAGGAAUAAGCAUCGGCUAACUCCGUGCCAGCAGCCGCGGUAAUACGGAGGAUGCAAGCGUUAUCCGGAAUGAUUGGGCGUAAAGCGUCCGCAGGUGGCAAUGUAAGUCUGCUGUUAAAGAGUCUAGCUCAACUAGAUAAAGGCAGUGGAAACUACAUAGCUAGAGUGCGUUCGGGGUAGAGGGAAUUCCUGGUGUAGCGGUGAAAUGCGUAGAUAUCAGGAAGAACACCGGUGGCGAAGGCGCUCUACUAGGCCGCAACUGACACUGAGGGACGAAAGCUAGGGGAGCGAAUGGGAUUAGAUACCCCAGUAGUCCUAGCCGUAAACGAUGGAUACUAGGCGUGGCUUGUAUCGACCCGAGCCGUGCCGGAGCUAACGCGUUAAGUAUCCCGCCUGGGGAGUACGCACGCAAGUGUGAAACUCAAAGGAAUUGACGGGGGCCCGCACAAGCGGUGGAGUAUGUGGUUUAAUUCGAUGCAACGCGAAGAACCUUACCAAGGCUUGACAUGUCGCGAAUUUCGGUGAAAGCUGAAAGUGCCUUAGGGAGCGCGAACACAGGUGGUGCAUGGCUGUCGUCAGCUCGUGUCGUGAGAUGUUGGGUUAAGUCCCGCAACGAGCGCAACCCUCGUUUCUAGUUGCCAGCAUUAGGAUGGGAACUCUAGAGAGACUGCCGGUGACAAACCGGAGGAAGGUGGGGAUGACGUCAAGUCAGCAUGCCCCUUACGCCUUGGGCUACACACGUACUACAAUGCUACGGACAAAGGGCAGCUACACAGCGAUGUGAUGCAAAUCUCAUAAACCGUAGCUCAGUUCAGAUCGAAGGCUGCAACUCGCCUUCGUGAAGGAGGAAUCGCUAGUAAUUGCAGGUCAGCAUACUGCAGUGAAUUCGUUCCCGGGCCUUGUACACACCGCCCGUCACACCAUGGAAGUUGGUCACGCCCGAAGUCAUUACCC
rnacentral:rRNA from 1 species